CUCUCCCUCUCUCUGACGUUCUCGUCUGCGAUAUAGCGUGGCAGACCUGUCAGAGUCAAGAACGUCACACUUUUAUGUUUUUCUAGUUUCUUCUUCAUUCUCAGAGUUAAUUCCUUCAGAUCGUUGAAAGUUAUUGUCCCCUCUUCAUACAUUACCCCAGUCGCCAUCUCGGCUCCGGAAUUUAUCUGCCUUUCUCGGCCCCCCUUUGAUAUUUGUCUAUCAUUACUGAUUCGGGUCUGAUUGUCCUCUAGUGUUGUCCAGUUACUGUACGAGUCACAAUCUCUUCACAUUUUGUGUGUGUGUCUGCAACCCCAGAAACCGCACAUUUAUCUCCCACACCUGGUUUCUCAUCGUCUCAUAUGGAAUACAACAUUCAUUCAUGCAAAACCUAGAGCCAGGUUACGAGGAAUUUCAUGCAAGGUUCCAUCAGUAGUAACAGUCAGUUUGAAGAAUGCAGAAUUGCAGACUAGAGACUACAGAUCAGAAGAGCAGAUACAGUCUAGUUACCUACAGAAGUUCCAUCAAGAAAGUGACACGCUUUGCUUUUUUUUUACAUUCAAAAGUGAAUGACUGAAUUGUUCACUGAGCUGACAGAAGACGCAAUUGAUUGUAAUCGGUCUCUUUUUCGGUCUUCGAAAAAAAUAUUUAGAUUCAACCUUUCCUUGGUUGCUUUGCCUUGCCUGACAGGCUGACAUGCCUGUUUCUUUGUGGUUUCGGCUUAAACCUUCACAGGUUUUGUUGAAUUCUAUUUACGGUUUUGAAAAUUGAAGAUAUGUUUUUUAAACUUGCACAUUCAGUGCUAGAGUGUUUGGUUAUAUGAAAGCACUGCUACUGAUAUUCUAUCAGCCAAACGGGACCGCAUGAAACCUUGUUUAUUUCAGUCUCUUUUAUUCAUUAAAAAAAAUUACAAGUGGGCAAAAUAAAUAUGAGGAAAAGUA